rnacentral:tRNA from 2 species
GGGCUCGUAUUCCAACGGGAGGAUGCGGCUUUCGCAUAGCUGCGAUACGGGUUCGAUUCCCGUCGAGUCCA